GGUUGGUCCAAGUGCAGUGGUGUUUAUAGCUAAUUGAUCACAACCAGUGACAGAUUCCUUUUCUCCUUCUCCACUCCACUGCUUCACUUGAUGAGCCUGUA
rnacentral:Y_RNA from 1 species